rnacentral:rRNA from 1 species
AUUGAACGCUGGCGGCAGGCCUAACACAUGCAAGUCGAGCGGAUGAAGGGAGCUUGCUCCUGGAUUCAGCGGCGGACGGGUGAGUAAUGCCUAGGAAUCUGCCUGGUAGUGGGGGAUAACGUCCGGAAACGGGCGCUAAUACCGCAUACGUCCUGAGGGAGAAAGUGGGGGAUCUUCGGACCUCACGCUAUCAGAUGAGCCUAGGUCGGAUUAGCUAGUUGGUGGGGUAAAGGCCUACCAAGGCGACGAUCCGUAACUGGUCUGAGAGGAUGAGCAGUCACCUUGGAACUGGGCCACGGUCCGGGCUCCUACGGGAGGCAGCAGUGGGGAAUAUUGGACAAUGGGCGAAAGCCUGAUCCAGCCAUGCCGCGUGUGUGAAGAAGGUCUUCGGAUUGUAAAGCACUUUAAGUUGGGAGGAAGGGCAGUAAGUUAAUACCUUGCUGUUUUGACGUUACCAACAGAAUAAGCACCGGCUAACUUCGUG